UACAGAGGGUGCAAGCGUUGCUCGGAAUCAUUGGGCGUAAAGAGCUCGUAGGCGGUCUGUUGCGUCCGCUGUGAAAACUCGGGGCUUAACCCCGAGCCUGCAGUGGAUACGGGCAGACUAGAGGUAGGUAGGGGAGAAUGGAAUUCCCGGUGUAGCGGUGAAAUGCGCAGAUAUCGGGAGGAACACCGGUGGCGAAGGCGGUUCUCUGGGCCUUACCUGACGCUGAGGAGCGAAAGCGUGGGGAGCGAACAGG
rnacentral:rRNA from 1 species